UUCGACCUCAAAUCAAGUAGGAAUACCCGCUGAACUUAAGCAUAUCAAUAAGCGGAGGAAAAGAAACCAACAGGGAUUGCCUCAGUAGCGGCGAGUGAAGCGGCAAAAGCUCAAAUUUGAAA
rnacentral:rRNA from 1 species